rnacentral:rRNA from 1 species
GUGCCAGCAGCCGCGGUAAUUCCAGCUCCAAUAGCGUAUAUUAAAGUUGUUGUGGUUAAAAAGCUCGUAGUUGAACCUUGGGCCUGGCUGGCCGGUCCGCCUCACCGCGUGCACUGGUCCGGCCGGGCCUUUCCCUCUGUGGAACCCCAUACCCUUCACUGGGCGUGGCGGGGAAACAGGACAUUUACUUUGAAAAAAUUAGAGUGCUCCAGGCAGGCCUAUGCUCGAAUACAUUAGCAUGGAAUAAUAAAAUAGGACGCGCGAUUCUAUUUUGUUGGUUUAUAGGACCGCCGUAAUGAUUAAUAGGGACAGUCGGGGGCAUCAGUAUUCAACUGUCAGAGGUGAAAUUCUUGGAUCAGUUGAAGACUAACUACUGCGAAAGCAUUUGCCAAGGAUGUUUUCAUUAAUCAGGAACGAAAGUUAGGGGAUCGAAGACGAUCAGAUACCGUCGUAGUCUUAACCAUAAACUAUGCCGACUAGGGAUCGGACGGUGUUAUUCAUGACCCGUUCGGCACCUUACGAGAAAAUCAAAAGUGCUUGGGCUCCAGGGGGAGUACGGUCGCAGGGCUGAAACUUAAAGAAAUUGACGGAAGGGCACCACCAGGGGUGGAGCCUGCGGCUUAAUUUGACUCAACACGGGGAAACUCACCAGGUCCAGACACAAUAAGGAUUGACAGAUUGAGAGCUCUUUCUUGAUUUUGUGGUGUGUGCAUGACCGUUCUUAGUUGUGGGGUGACUUGUCUGCUUAUUGCGAUAACGAACGAGGACUUAUCCUGCUAAUAGUCGC